rnacentral:rRNA from 1 species
GAAUGCUGGCGGCGUGCCUAAUACAUGCAAGUCGAGCGGUAACAGGGCUUCACCGUUCCUGUCGCACCUGGCCUAAGUGCAGGUAGUUGAUACGAGGGAACAGUGAAGCUGCUGACGAGCGGCGGACGGCUGAGUAACGCGUGGGAACAUACCCCAAACUGAGGGAUAACUAGUCGAAAGAUUAGCUAAUACCGCAUGUGAUCUACGGAUUAAAGGAUUUAUCCGGUUUGGGAAUGGCCUGCGUAGGAUUAGAUAGUUGGUGAGAUAAUAGCCCACCAAGUCGACGAUCCUUAGAUGGUUUGAGAGGAUGAUCAUCCAGACUGGGACUGAGACACGGCCCAGACUCCUACGGGAGGCAGCAGUAGGGAAUCUUUCACAAUGGGCGAAAGCCUGAUGGAGCAACGCCGCGUGCAGGAUGAAGGCCUUCGGGUUGUAAACUGCUUUUAUAAGCGAGAAAUAUGAUGGUAACUUAUGAAUAAGGAUCGGCUAACUACGUGCCAGCCGCGGC